rnacentral:rRNA from 1 species
AUUGAACGCUGGCGGCAUGCUUUACACAUGCAAGUCGAACGGCAGCGCGGGCUUCGGCCUGGCGGCGGGUGGCGAACGGGUGAGUAAUACAUCGGAACGUGCCCAGUAGUGGGGGAUAGCUCGGCGAAAGCCGGAUUAAUACCGCAUACGACCUGAGGGUGAAAGCGGGGGAUCUUCGGACCUCGCGCUAUUGGAGCGGCCGAUGGCAGAUUAGCUAGUUGGUGGGGUAAGGGCCUACCAAGGCGACGAUCUGUAGCUGGUCUGAGAGGACGACCAGCCACACUGGGACUGAGACACGGCCCAGACUCCUACGGGAGGCAGCAGUGGGGAAUUUUGGACAAUGGGCGAAAGCCUGAUCCAGCAAUGCCGCGUGUGUGAUGAAGGCCUUCGGGUUGUAAAGCACUUUUGGCGGGAACGAAAAGGACUGUGCCAAUACCACGGUUCGAUGACGGUACCCGCAGAAUAAGCACCGGCUAACUACGUG